GGUGGGUUCGUAUAACGGUUAGUACCCAAGAUUCUCAAUCUUGUAAUAGGAGUUCGAUUCUCCUACCAACUA
rnacentral:tRNA from 1 species